rnacentral:piRNA from 1 species
UGAUGAGAUAGUAUCUUCUCUUUGC